rnacentral:rRNA from 1 species
AUUGAACGCUGGCGGCAGGCCUUACACAUGCAAGUCGGACGGUAGCAGGUGUUACGAAAGUGACAUGCUGACGAGUGGCGGACGGGUGAGUAGAAUCCGGGGAUCUGGCUGAUGGAGAGGGAUAGCCACUGGAAACGGUGGGUAAUACCGCGUGAAGUUGAGAGACUAAAGGGUGGGAUUCAGAGAUGAACCAUCCGCCAUCAGAUGAACCCGGAGGGGAUUAGCCUGCAGGUGGGGUAAUGGCCUACCUGGGCUGCGAUCCCUAGCUGGUCUGAGAGGAUGGCCAGCCACACCGGGACUGAGAGACGGCCCGGACUCCUGCGGGAGGCAGCAGUGGGGGAUAUUGCACAAUGGGGGAAACCCUGAUGCAGCCAUGCCGCGUGUGUGAAGAAGGCCUUCGGGUUGUAAAGCACUUUCGUCGGGGAGGAAGGGUGUCAGGUUAAGAGCCUGGUGCUUUGACGUUACCUGAAGAAGAAGCACCGGCAAACUCCGUGCCAGCAGCCGCAGUAA